rnacentral:tRNA from 1 species
AAUAUAAAAGUAUUAUUACGUUUGAUUUCCAAUCAGAAGUGGAGAAAAUUUUU